GUCAUGGCUCAGGAUGAACGCUGGCGGCGUGCUUAACACAUGCAAGUCGAGCGAAGCACUUUACUUGGAUUUCUUCGGAAUGACGAGUAUUGUGACUGAGCGGCGGACGGGUGAGUAACGCGUGGGUAACCUGCCUCAUACAGGGGGGAUAACAGUUAGAAAUGACUGCUAAUACCGCAUAAGACCACAGCACCGCAUGGUGCAGGGGUAAAAACUCCGGUGGUAUGAGAUGGACCCG
rnacentral:rRNA from 1 species